UUUGGUCGCCAACGAGUGGCGGACGGGUGAGUAACACGUAGGUAACCUGCCCAGAAGCGGGGGACAACAUUUGGAAACAGAUGCUAAUACCGCAUAACAGCGUUGUUCGCAUGAACAACGCUUAAAAGAUGGCUUCUCGCUAUCACUUCUGGAUGGACCUGCGGUGCAUUAGCUUGUUGGUGGGGUAAUGGCCUACCAAGGCGAUGAUGCAUAGCCGAGUUGAGAGACUGAUCGGCCACAAUGGGACUGAGACACGGCCCAUACUCCUACGGGAGGCAGCAGUAGGGAAUCUUCCACAAUGGGCGCAAGCCUGAUGGAGCAACACCGCGUGAGUGAAGAAGGGUUUCGGCUCGUAAAGCUCUGUUGUUAAAGAAGAACACGUAUGAGAGUAACUGUUCAUACGUUGACGGUAUUUAACCAGAAAGUCACGGCUAACUACGUGCCAGCAGCCGCGGUAAUACGUAGGUGGCAAGCGUUAUCCGGAUUUAUUGGGCGUAAAGAGAGUGCAGGCGGUUUUCUAAGUCUGAUGUGAAAGCCUUCGGCUUAACCGGAGAAGUGCAUCGGAAACUGGAUAACUUGAGUGCAGAAGAGGGUAGUGGAACUCCAUGUGUAGCGGUGGAAUGCGUAGAUAUAUGGAAGAACACCAGUGGCGAAGGCGGCUACCUGGUCUGCAACUGACGCUGAGACUCGAAAGCAUGGGUAGCGAACAGGAUUAGAUACCCUGGUAGUCCAUGCCGUAAACGAUGAGUGCUAGGUGUUGGAGGGUUUCCGCCCUUCAGUGCCGGAGCUAACGCAUUAAGCACUCCGCCUGGGGAGUACGACCGCAAGGUUGAAACUCAAAGGAAUUGACGGGGGCCCGCACAAGCGGUGGAGCAUGUGGUUUAAUUCGAAGCUACGCGAAGAACCUUACCAGGUCUUGACAUCUUGCGCCAACCCUAGAGAUAGGGCGUUUCCUUCGGGAACGCAAUGACAGGUGGUGCAUGGUCGUCGUCAGCUCGUGUCGUGAGAUGUUGGGUUAAGUCCCGCAACGAGCGCAACCCUUGUUACUAGUUGCCAGCAUUAAGUUGGGCACUCUAGUGAGACUGCCGGUGACAAACCGGAGGAAGGUGGGGACGACGUCAGAUCAUCAUGCCCCUUAUGACCUGGGCUACACACGUGCUACAAUGGACGGUACAACGAGUCGCGAACUCGCGAGGGCAAGCAAAUCUCUUAAAACCGUUCUCAGUUCGGACUGCAGGCUGCAACUCGCCUGCACGAAGUCGGAAUCGCUAGUAAUCGCGGAUCAGCAUGCCGCGGUGAAUACGUUCCCGGGCCUUGUACACACCGCCCGUCACACCAUGAGAGUUUGUAACACCCAAAGUCGGUGGGGUAACCUUUUAGGAGCCAGCCGCCUAAGGUGGGAC
rnacentral:rRNA from 1 species